CUCCUUUUCACCCUAUUUAGCCUCGUUUCAAGCCACCGCACAAUGAAGACUCACCAUGAACCGCAGUUGCCAAAUACUUUGGACCAUCUACACAGCCACCUUUCAACACUCUGGUCCUAGUCUCUAUCUUGGUAAAACUUCUAUUCCUCUCUCUUCAUUUUACAAAUAUUAAAAUGGUGGUUAGAUGACUGUGAAUGGAGCUUGAUUAUGUACGAUGUUGAAGUGUUGGAUCAAUGUAUGCAUGUUCGAGGGUCUUGGUUACACUAGGUGGAUUGAAUGAUACAUGUAUGGAUAAUAGAUUUGGAUAAUAGAGUAUGCUUAAG